rnacentral:sRNA from 1 species
GCCAGGCGUGGUGGCGGGCGCCUGUAGUCCCAGCUACUAGGGAGGCUGAGACAGGAGAAUUGCUUGAAUCCGGGAGGUGGAGCUUGCAGUGAGCCGAGAUCACGCCACUGCACUCCAGCCUGGGUGACAGAGCAAGACUCUGUCUCAA